UACGGAGGGGGCGAGCGUUAUUCGGAAUCAUUGGGCGUAAAGGGCGCGUAGGCGGCCCCGUAAGUCUUGGGUGAAAUCCCCGGGCUCAACCUGGGAACUGCAUUUGUGACUGCAUCGCUGGAGUGCGGCAGAGGGGGAUGGAAUUCCGCGUGUAGCAGUGAAAUGCGUAGAGAUGGGGGAGAACACUCGUGGCGGAGGCGGCCAGCUAGACCAGUUCUGACACUGAGGCGCGACAGCGUGGGGAGCAAACAGG
rnacentral:rRNA from 1 species